rnacentral:lncRNA from 1 species
GGGCAGAGCACUGCACCAGUGACACCAGUACGCACCAGUGCUCCCAGUUCCCCAUACCCAGCGUGCACCACUACCCCCACAUCCUGCUCUGCGGUCUCCCGGGGUUCCAGAACUCCCAGUUCAUCCCAGUAUAUCCCAGUUUGUCCCAGUUCUCUCGGUAUCCCCAGUGCUCCCCAGUCCAUCCCGCUGCCCCCAGUCCUCCCAGUAUCCCCAGAAGUCCCCCUCCCAGUCUCUCCCAGUUUGUCCCAGUUAUCCCAGUGCCCCUGGUCCCCCCAGUCCGUCCCAGUCUGCCUCAGCAUCUCCCGGUCUCUCCCAGUAUUCCCAGUCUCUCCCAGUAUUCCCAGUCUCUCCCAGUAUCCCUAGAAUUCCAACUCCAUCCCAGUCCAUCCCAGUUUGUCCCAGUUCUCCCGGUAUCCCCAGUCCACCCCAGUCUGCCCCACAGCUCCCAGUCGGUCCCAGUGCUUCCCAGUAUCUCCAGUCCCCCAGUCUCUUCCAGUCCUCCCAGUAUUCCCAGAACUCCCAUUCAGUCCCAGUAUCUCCCAGUUUCUCCCAGUCUGUCCCAGUGCUCCCUAGUCUGUCCCAGUAUUCCCAGUCCCCCAGUCCAUCCCAGUCCUCCCAGUCUCUCCCAGUCCAUCCCAGUCCUCCCAGUAUC